rnacentral:rRNA from 1 species
UAGGUUAGUAAAGCGAACCCAGCGAACUGAAACAUCUAAGUAGCUGGAGGAAAGGAUAUCAACCGAUACUCCGUAAGUAGUGGCGAGCGAAAGCGGAUCAGGCCAGUGGUUUUAAUUGUACAACCAAAAUUACCUGGAAAGGUAAACCGUAGAGAGUGAUAGUCUCGUAUGGGUAAUGACGAUUAAAAUCCUUGAGUAAGACGGGACACGUGAAAUCCUGUCCGAACAUGGGGGGACCACCCUCCAAGCCUAAGUACUACUGUGUGACCGAUAGUGAACUAGUACCGUGAGGGAAAGGUGAAAAGAACCCCGACGAGGGGAGUGAAAUAGAUCCUGAAAUUGAAUGCUUACAAGCUGUCGAAGCCCGCAAGGGUGACGGCGUACCUUUUGUAUAAUGGGUCAGCGAGUUAGUUUAAGUUGCAAGCUUAAGCCGUAAGGUGUAGGCGUAGCGAAAGCGAGUCUGAAUAGGGCGUUAGUAUCUUGAAUUAAACCCGAAACCGAGUGAUCUAGCCAUGAGCAGGUUGAAGAUAAGGUAAUACUUAUUGGAGGACCGAACCAGUUGACGUUGAAAAGUCUUUGGAUGACUUGUGGUUAGGGGUGAAAGGCCA